GAAAACAGCUGAUUCUUUGGCUACUUGUAGGUUUAUACAAUGUUUUAAAGCACUUCAAACUAAAAAGUGAAAAAUAUAAACUGACAGUAAUAAUGACCGAAAAAUACUUGUAUUACUAUGAGGAAAGUAUGGUAUACUUGAUAUACGAAAAUUGCACAAACCAUCCCAGGCUUUUCUCCCUAUAAUACAAGUACCUAACUCCCGAGUUGGGUAAAUAAUACUGUAAUAGAGAAGGCGCAAAUGUUAAGAAGUACUAUUUUGAGCUUUUCACAAGAGGGAACAUCGAAAAAUACAACUUCGAACCUAAGAAAUACACCACGCAAUGACUAAAACGGGGAAAGACUAUAAAUAAACACAAAUAAUGUUCUUAAAUGAAUUAUGAGCAUGCUGAUUUACAUUUGCAUAUUACCAAUAAAUCAUAAUUUUUGUAAUUUAAAACAAUCCUUCAAAUUAUAUAAAUGGAUUAUUGGUUAAACGCAUAUGCAAAGAAUAACAAUAAAACAGUAGCUAAACGGCGGCGUUCUCACACUGCAAUACGAACGGUGCAUAUAUACAUAUGCACAGAUGUUCUUUGGUAUGCGCAUGAACAAAAAUUAAAAUAAAAAAGAAAAUAAUUGACUUAUGGAAAGUAAAUGUAAAUUAUAAGAAUAGAAUUAAAAUGUCAUUUAAUAAAAAUAAUCUACAUUCUCUGUAUAAACAUACAGGUGAAGCAAGUGAAAGCGUUAUAAAAAAACAGAGAACGUUCUCUGAAAAUAUAAAUUGUCAAGCAAAGCGAGUCAAGUUGUAUGUGAAUGGGUCAUAAUAAUCCAAAGUAGCACAAUGACAUAUAGCGGAAUGGCAGAAAGCUGCCUGACUCGAGAACGAAAUUUGCAAUAACAAAAAGAAGCUGCUAAUAAUAAGAACAAAAAGUUGUAAAGGAGAGUUCUUGGUAUUCGACUGAUCGACUAACCGGAUAGGGCAUUGUUGAAAUAAUAAUAUAAGGUUUGCAGUAUCCGGAUAGUUGUAAGUAGUCGACUAUUCACUUAACCGUUAAUUUUCGACUAUCACGUUAACGAUUAUUCUAAUAGUAAGCGUUCAUUCAAAAAAACAAAACAAAAAUCGUCGUUCUAUGGCGUCGUUGUAUUAGUCGGUUAAUAUUCAUAUGAACAGUACCAACCGGAUAUUCGAAUAAUUGAUUUUCAGACUAUUCGUAACAUUUUAAGAGCCCUCAUGUGUAACCAAACUAUACUGACGUAAACAAAGUGGUGGAGGUCCAUGUUUUGGAUAUAUAAAUUAUAAUUGAACUGGUAAAAGUAAACAAACAUGGCUGCCAAUGACAUAUCCGAUUUAAUAUUGGUUAUAAUUCAGAGAGUUGUAACUGGAGCUUCAAAUGAUGAUCUGGUUAAGGGAUUACCAGAAGUAACUGCGCAAGCUCGAAUGGAAAGUUUGAAUAAAUUGUUACAACAGGGCACUAUUGAAUUACUUAAAAAAGGUGACAAGCUCAUAUACCGUGCUAAAGAUCCGAAAAGGAGUGCAUUACCCAAAGAUGCCGAUAAUGAGGAACGAAUAAUUUAUGGUAUAAUUGAAGAAGGCGGAAAUAAAGGCAUAUGGAUUCGUGAUAUACGCAUGCAAUCAAACCUUAACAUGACACAUUUGAAUAAAAUUUUAAAAAAUCUGGAGACUAAAAAACUGAUUAAAGCAGUCAAAUCCGUAAAUGCUAGUAAAAAAAAGGUAUACAUGCUGUAUAAUUUAGAACCAGACCGCACAGUAACUGGCGGUGCCUGGUAUCAAGAUCAAGACUUUGAGGCUGAAUUUGUGGACGUCCUUAAUCAGCAAUGCCUAAGAUUUUUACAAUUGAACCGUGAGAAUGCAGAAAAAAAACGUGAAGGUCCCUUGGCACUUAAACGGUUGUCUUGCUGUUCCGUGAAGGAAGUUCAUAAAUUUAUAUCAGACUUGGGAAUAAGUAAAGUUCAUUUAGAUGAAGAUGAUUUAGAAACUAUCUUAAAAACUGUCGUUUAUGAUGGCAAUGCAGAGCGUAUAAUGAUGCCCGACGGUUCUUUUGUUUAUCGUGCCAUUAAUGCACCUCUUACUGCCCCCGGCCUUGUACAAAUACCUUGUGGGAUAUGUCCCGUUAUAAGAAAUUGUUCAAAAUGUGGGGAUGUAACACCUAAUAAAUGUAUUUAUAUGACAGAUUGGUUGGAUUAAUAUUAAUAAUAAGUAAAUCAUUUUAAUAUCUAUGUAUGUAUGUAUACAUAUAUUUAAAAAUAAAAAUUAAACGAGUUGAAAUAAACCAAACUAUGUCACUAAGGUUUAUUCAAGUCUACCCACCCUACUAUUAGCCGCUGUACGUGGCCGUCCACAGCUGUCGUCAUAGACCGCUGUCAAAAUAGAACGAAAGCAGAAUAAAAAAUACAUUACAGUAAAAGCAUUUUCGCUGCUGAAUUCUUAAAAAAAUAAAUGUUUGGAAUAACAAAUCAGUGAUUACGACUUGAAAAUACCAACUACUUGAUGUUGAACAACAUUGUUGAGUUUGUAAAAAAUCAAGUAUCAAUAUAAAUUAUGGGUCUAUGCAAAUGUCCAAAACGGCAAGUGACGAAUCAAUUUUGUUUUGAACACCGAGUUAAUGUAUGUGAAAAUUGCAUGGUGCAAAACCAUUCUAAGUGUAUUGUUCAAUCAUAUCUUCAAUGGUUACGCGACAGCGAUUACGUCUCCAAUUGUACAUUGUGCUCUUCAACACUUGAACAGGGUGAAUGUGUACGCUUAGUAUGUUACCAUGUGUUUCAUUGGGAUUGCUUGAAUGUGAGACAGUCAUCAUUGCCAAGUAAUACAGCGCCACGUGGUCACCAGUGUCCAAUUUGUGAUAUUGAGAUAUUUCCGAAUUUCAAUUUAGUGUCACCCGUAGCGGAUGCGUUGAAAGCAUAUUUGUCAAAAGUGAAUUGGGGACGAAAUGGAUUAGGUCUUUCUCUUUUGCCUAAAGAUAAGUCAGCCGAGUCGAGUUCGAAUUUUAAGAGUCAAUGUACAUCUACCACAGUAGCUGGACCUACCCAGUCUGCAGCAGUUAGUAACAUGACCAAAGUUCAUCAUUCCGUAGGUAUGGAGCGUUUAAAUGAUAAUGGGAUAUUUUCCACGCAAACUAUGCGUCAUGAUAAUCCCCAUUCUGUUCUGUUAAUGGACGCAUUUAGUUUACCAGUUGAAAAAAAUGUUCAUGCUAGUAGCAGACGUCCUUUACUGCCCCGUCAGUCGCCUAUUGGUGGCACUGAUCGUGAUGAAAACAAAUAUAAACGGCGCACAACUUCAGAAAUAUUUUCACGUUGGUCACGUCGGUUCUAUGCGCCCUCUUCUCGUCCACCCUGGCGUCGUACUUGGUUUCUGGUAAUAAGUGGUGCAUUAGCAUUUGUAGUACUCAUAUACUUGAUGGCACUUGUUGGACGUGGCAGUGAUAAUGAAUCUAGCCAUGAUAGUUGGGAUGACCCGAAUCCUAAACCAGAUGUUCAUUAUGAAUAAAAUUAAAAUGUUAAUGUAAUUUUCUGAUGAUUUAAUUUAUAUAAAUCUGAAAUCCGUAAACCUUGAAAUUAGUUACGAAAUAUAUAUUUUUACUAAAUGUGUGCAAUUAUAUGAUUAUAGAUUACUAAUUAUUGAUUUUUGGAUAUUAUUAACUAAACUUUGUUAAGGUUGAAAUAAAUUAUAAUAAUUUCCAAAUAUUUACAAUCAAAUUUAUAAGAGAAGUCUUCUCUAACUGAAAAAACUGAAAUGUUUUUGUAUGUACGUACACAGGUAUCCAUUAAAAAAAAUUAAAAAUAAA